UACGUAGGGGGCAAGCGUUAUCCGGAUUUACUGGGUGUAAAGGGAGCGUAGACGGCUUUGCAAGCCAGAUGUGAAAGCCCGGGGCUCAACCUCGGGACUGCAUUUGGAACUGUAUGGCUGGAGUGUCGGAGAGGCAGGCGGAAUUCCUAGUGUAGCGGUGAAAUGCGUAGAUAUUAGGAGGAACACCAGUGGCGAAGGCGGCCUGCUGGACGGUGACUGACGCUGAGGCUCGAAAGCGUGGGGAGCAAACAGG
rnacentral:rRNA from 1 species